UACGUAGGGGGCUAGCGUUGUCCGGAAUCAUUGGGCGUAAAGAGCGCGUAGGCGGCCAGAUAAGUCCGGUGUGAAAGUCACAGGCUCAACCUGUGAAUGCCGCUGGAAACUGUCUGGCUAGAGUCCGGAAGGGGCGAGUGGAAUUCCUGGUGUAGCGGUGAAAUGCGCAGAUAUCAGGAGGAACACCAAUGGCGAAGGCAAUCCCCUGGGCCUGCACUGACGCUCAUGCACGAAAGCGUGGGGAGCAAACAGG
rnacentral:rRNA from 1 species